rnacentral:lncRNA from 1 species
CAACCGCGCCAGGUAACAACCAGUAACAACGGAAAGUCAGGGCCGCUAGUUCCGCCAUCGCGGUGGUUUUGCUAAACAAUGUUCUCUCCUGCACUGGAAGGGCCCUUGGUCCUAGGACGGGCGCCCGCUUGUCGCGGCACAUCUUGGGGGACAGCAGCCUCAGAGAGAGCUUGGAUGUACACACGCACACUGUUGGAACUUCCACCCAAAACUUGCCCACAACGCACAACUCAACACAACACCACCUCAGGG